ACUUUUAUGAAUAGUUGUAUCCCAUGACAUCUUCUUACUUUUAAAUCUGGUUUCACGAUUCAGAGUUACAACACCGACAAAACUUCCCGACAAAUGGGCUUCGAUCAAUCCGUUCUCCGAUGUCGUGGCAAGGCACCUUCCGAUAACGCUUUAUUACAGAGUGAUGGCGCCCAUAACAUUCAGGGUCGAAGUCUCCUUUCUCUUCAAGAUGAUAGAAAGGCAUGUGUGACAGAAGAAUAUGAUGAUUUCUGACAUAAAAAACUUUCUCUCCUCAAGAAUUUUAUGUCGAGUAGUCCUUCUGAUGUUUUUGGCGUGCCAUCUGAGGAUGAAUUAGCAGCUCGGCUAAACUUGAGGAUUACUACUGAAGCGAGGCAUGACUUGAUCACCAAUUUGAUGCAGUCGUGGCACCUGGAAAAGUCUCGCCCCAUCCUUGGUUUUGCGAAUGACACCAAUCCCAGUAUGGAGAAAAAAGACCACGGGUAAUUAUGCCUGGAAGUGGAGAUCAUCCUUAAAAGAAGGUAAGUGUCUUGUAUUAUUUGUAUUCUUGUUUUCUGUAUGAAGUAUAUCCCUGCUUUGUUUAAACAUGUACCUUUGCAUAUUCUAGGGGCCAAAGGUUCUUUUGCAACUUCUCAAAGUGACUAGAGUGUUCAACCUUUUAAGUUUGGCAUCCCACUUAUCCUUGGAAUCUCAGUACCCUAUGCUAUAAGUAAAGCUUCUUUUGGAGAUUCCUGGGUUUUAGGAUCUUACACCUUGUUGAAAUUGAUAGAUUCUGACUCUUAGGAAUAACCAUCAUUCUUAGAUGACUAGUGAUAUGAAUAUCUUGGUGUCUCAAAGCCCCAUCGUCGUUGGAGGCACCGAGGAAGAGGACAAAGGUGACAAGGAGAAAUUUUCCCGGACUAAAGUAACUGAAGGAUCCGGAGUUGAAGAUGAAGAACUUGACAGCGAGUCGCACUAAUAAGCGUCCUCCGCUCCUUACAACCAAUGUUUUUAAAUCCUUACCGGACAUUAACCCAGUAAAAUUACUGGGUUGGGUCAAUCAGGUCCAACCGGUGCUUCAACCACUGAGUCAAUUGGGUUAAAGGCUUGACUAAGUUAGAUGAUAAAGUUUUGUUGUAUGAUUUGAAUUGAGAUUUAUGUAGACUAAGUGGGUUAUAUUUAUGUUAUUAGUAGUUAAUAAAUUCACAUCAAAA